CAUAAACAAAAACAUUAUUUUUAGUGUGUGCCAUUAAGAUACCAUAAUCCUUUAGUUUAUGCUGACAGUUUUUUUCUAAGAUAUUUUGCCUUGUUCAGAGCUUCAGAAUCACCUUUGUAUGAAAACUUUGCAUAGUUACCUAGCAGCAGGGUUUUCUUUUCAUUUUGCAUCUGUGCUUCGUAUAUUGACUGAACUCCACCCAUUUCCACAAUGAAGUGUAGGUCACUGCUUUCUUCUUUUACUUAAGCAGCUGUCCUCCUGGCAGUCAUUGUGGUGAACUUUUUCCUGGUUUAGUUCAGUCCCUGUAGAAGACUGAGCCAAGAACUUUGUCAUAUAGACCCAUUAGUAAUCAUCUGUUUCUCAGGCUAAUGGACUCGGUUUCUGUUAUGUCCUUUGACUGGAAACUCCCAGAGCCACGCCUGGAGGUUGAGCUCCAUGUAACAUCUGUUCUGGGAUGGUGCUGGACUGGCUUGGCUUGCUCAGCUCUAAGCCAUCCCAGAGUUACUCUAGUACUGGUCCCUGGAUUUUUAAACCUGAGGAAGUCCCAUAGAUCAAAAACUGAUUUAUUGGAAAAUCAAAUAGAUCCAUUGGGAAAAAAAAAAAAAAAAUUGGACUGGAUUGAAAUGCAGCAUGAAUCAUAAGAGAAGUUUAGAAGCACAUGAAGAUGAAUGGGUCCCCAGUGACUCAACAGAGAACAUCUGGAGCAGGUCACAUUUUGAAGCUUUUCUGUGUAAUUAUUAGAGACUGAAAACUUCUUUAAAAACAAAAGUCCAGAUGAUUCUGUGUUCCUAAGACUCUACAAGCAAGAACAUCAGCAUCCUUGUUGCCCCAGAAAUGAAGAAAAGUUUUCAAGUACAUCUAAAUAUUAUCUAACACCUGAGAGGAUGUCAAGGAGACGAAGUCAAUCUCAUCACAGUGGAAAGUCAAGAGAUUAUGGACAUGUGUUGAAACAAGAAAUUGUCAAAUGGGAUGUGAGAAAAAGCUUUUUCACCACAAGGACAGUGGAACAGAGGAAGAGGCUGCCCAGUGAAGAUUUCUCUCCAUGAGGCAUGAAAUGUGGGCUGCCCCCAGGUACGUACUUCAGCAGACAGCAGCUACUGCUAAAUAUGGGCACCCAGCUCUGCUGCCUGCCACCCUUCCUCUUCAGCAUGAUGAAUGCAGAACUGAUGUCUGAACAAUGGCUUAUCUUCAAAGUGGGGAUGGUUGCCCUCCCACACCAUCCCCUGCAUUGUUUAUAGCUGAUUGUUUAUAGUCCUGUGGUUAAAGCGUUUCCUGGGAGAUGUGGUUUUGCUUGCCUGCAAGACAGGAGCAUAUUACACUUACUUCAGCUUCCUAAUUGCCACUCAUCUAUUGUGUGAAAAAGGGAGGAAGAGAAUAAAUCCCAAUGGACUCAUAAAGAAAGGCAGCCACGUCUACAGAGGCCCUGAGAGUGUCUCCUGAGCAGCUUUCAGGGGACUGAGACUGACGUACUGCCGAGAAGGUGUUCCUGCCACUGAGAGCUCUUGGGAUGCUGUAGUGGUGCCUCCUCUGGACUGCUCAGGCACUUAAGGUCACAGUACGACAUCCACGGAGUUAAGGCAGAUGAGGUAACACUAGGUCAGAUGAGCUCAAGAUGCAGUUUUGACCCUUGGUAUUCAGUUCCUGGUACUUCAGACAUUUGUGAUUUUUUGCAUCUAGCCUCUUGAUAUAAUUGCCAUCUGAAGCAGGGAAGUAUUGGGGAGGGAAGUGCUGGAAAACAUUGGAAAUGCUGGGAAAUGUUGGAAAGAGAAGUGGAUGCACAUUAAUACCUGAAGGUGUGUGGGUCAGUCUCCUGCUGACUUUAGGACUCUUGGAUGUCUCAGCUUAUUUACAUUGUGCUUGUGUACUCCUAAUCUUCUUCUAGUGUGACUCUACAUGAGAGGUUCAGUAAUGCAAAGAGGGAAAGGUUUGGGGCAUCAUGCUGCCUUGGUGUUGCAACAAGACAUUUUUACCCCUCCUGAAAACCAAUGCAUAAUAUCAGGUCAAGGAGCCUGCCAGCUUUGCAUUCCACCCCCUUUGGUGAAUUUGUGAAUUGCUGGUCUAAACCUUUGUUCAUCAUCUAAUUUGUGGAACUGCAAAAAAGGCAAACUUCACACAGAUGCAGGCUUUCCAGACUUCCCUUAUUAUAAUAUGGGAUUUCCUGUACUGUCCAUUCAAACACUAUGUCCUUUAUAAAAAGCACACAGGAGGUAAUUUUUUCCAUAUUUUUCUUGUUUGGCUUCUAUCUGUUCUUCCCAGGCUGCGGCCCUGAGAACAUAAGUGUUUAGAGUGCAGGAGAGAGGGCUCCAGCAUUCCUCUUUUAAUAUUUAGUAUUUUAAAUGUUGCAUCAUUAUGCAUCCACCUUAAAAGAUUUUACCCCAGUAAAUUUCAGUUGAACUUCACUAAUAGACCAAAAGAAAAAAAAAAAAAAAAAAAAGAGGGUUUCUGUAAUCAGUGAAACUUUCCAUGAACAUUACAUAAGUUAAUAUUUUCUUACUCCUGCCUGAUUCAUUGUAGUUUUUAUUUUUCUUUUUAACUCUCCUGCAAUAUAAAAGCUUUUCUGAGGGGCAGAAAGACGCAGGUUCAUUCCUGUUCUAUGAUGUUGCAUUGAAGUAGGACCUGAGUGAUUCUUUUGCUCUACUGGCAUAUGUAUUCUUUGGUCCAUGGUGAGGUACAUGCCAUGAACUCGAGGUCCAUUACAUUUUAGUGCUUAUUAUCUUCCUUAAGAAGCUAUUAAAAUCCAGUGUAUUAAGUAAACUGGGACUGAAUGGAGUGAACAGGAACAUCUGCAUGUCUUAUGUUAUGACUCCCCUAGCAGUUAUCUACUGUGCUAUAUAGCUUAGAAAAUUCUCCCAAGCAUAUAGAUGGUGGAGAUCCAACAAGCUGGAACUGCUGGCUACAGCUGAAGUUUCAACAACUCAUUCUAUCUACAGCUGCCUUCAUCUGUUGCUGGCUUUAGGGAAGAAUACCAAGCAUCUUUAGAUUUCACAUGCUGAAGGAGGGACAGAAUUCCAAAGGAUACGAAACCAGAAAGCGACCAGAAAAAUAAAAUACAGAAAUAAAUUAUUAAAAAACAAACAAACAAACAAAAAAAGAAUAAAAAAAAAGAAGAGGAAAUAUAAAUUCUAUGAGAAGACUGCAGAUGCAAAGUUUUAGAAUAGAAAAGUCAGUGAAGCCUUUUAAGUCUGUGGUGGGAUUCAUUGCAUGAAACACUAUUUACUUUUGCAGAGUGAUCUUGAGUUCAGCCACCAUACUACAGUCUACCACUGUCAGAGAUAGAUUUAAACAUUUAUGCUAUUUGAGAAAAUGUGCUAACUUCAUACAGACAGAACUAUUGUGAUAGUGCUGAUCAACAAACCACAAAUAUGUAUUUAAAGCCAAAUUGUGCUCUCAUUUUUCCUCAGAACUUUAAAUAUUGUCUUUAGUUUUUGUGAAAAUACCUUACCUCAUGAAAGGAAAUAACUCACAAGUUUCUCAACCAGAAUGACAGCUGUCAAUUUGCUCAGUUUGGUGUUACUUUGUUGAUAGAUGUAUUAGAUCAGAGAGGGAGUCUCUAACUGUGCAGUCCUGUUUUAUUUGUAAAACAAAGCACAGUACUGAAAGGUAUUAGAGAGAGGAUUUUCAGGUUAAAUUGUACAUCAGUAUCAUUUGGCUGUCACUUCAGCUACUACAACGCUCAUCCUACUCCUUUCACUGCACAAGAUUAGUCCAGGGAAUUGUAACCAUUUUCCCUCUGUUUCUUCAUUCUCCUCUGAUAAACUUCAUGUGAAUAAUAUUAAAUUAGCUUUAACAUUAAGUACUAACUGAUAAAUGAAGGCUGAAUUAGUUGGCUUUGAAUGAAAACCUUUGGGGUUUCAUCAGUCAGAAAAAUACAUGUCUUAUAUUGAUUUGUAAGACAAGGUGAUGCGUAUAUUCCAUUGCAUCUUUACUGGCAACGAGUUUUACUGCUCCAUUCAGGACUCAUAUAUCUGUGUAUGUUGGGGAUGGGGAUGGCCAUGGAGUAAAUCUUUGUCUUCUUCUCUAUUUCCAGUCGCAUCUCUAAACAUAUCAGGUCCAGGGGAUUGAAGUUUCCCUUCUCUGUUAAAAGCACCAUCAAAAUUAGAAACUAUUAGUAAUAUUACUAUAACUGUGAAGAUCUGAUGAAAUAAAAUAUCUAUUCACACAAAUCCUGUUUCAUGAUUAACUACAUUCUCUGCAAGUGGAUUUUCAUUGCUAGAGAAAGUGAGAGUUGGCAACACGCUAGAGAAAUUGGAAUUUAUAUAAUUACCAGGAUUUAUUCAAGGGGUUGUGUUAUUGUUUGUGAUAAAUAUAUCUGCAUUCAGACCAUGAAUUUAUAGCGCAUGUUUCAUAAGCAAAAAACAUUUAUACAUAGCACAGAUCUCUCC
ensembl:lncRNA